GACCUACUAAUUACCAAGGUAAUUAAUUAAUUGAGUUCUUUCCUCUGUUUCAGGAAUCCUCGUACGUAAUUGGCCAGGCUUGUCCUUCCUGUCAACGUUUGUCGUGGGAUUGAUUACGCCGCUGCGUAAUGUUCGUCGUACACAGGUAAUGACAUGGAAAUGGGACUUAUCAAUGUCGGCUGCGCAAAUCAUUUAUGUCGGUUCACAUAAAAUAAUGUUUAUUGCACACACAUGAUAAUAAAAGAAAAUAAAAGUACAA
rnacentral:lncRNA from 13 species